ACCGGCUCGGCUCCUGGACUGGCCCCUCCUAGUUAUGUGUAUUUAUCGGUUAUUUAUGUGCCCCCCUGGGGCCCUGGGCAGGUACCGAGGCUCCAGGCCUCUGCUUUGAGACCUGGCCUGGGGAGGGCGCCGUCCCCGGUGCCUGGGGGAUGACCCUGAGCUGGACAGCCCCCAGCUCGAGAUGCACUUUAUCCUUUGACAAAAACAGCCGGGCUAGAAGGAACAUUCUCACUCUUCCAGAACUUGCUAAGCGACACCUACAGAAAAGGGAAAAGGUGUUCUGAUGGCCACCUCCACUCCCUGGCCCCCUGGGCUCCCCUCACCCCAGCCCCCUGGGAGGAACGAGCACCCCUGUGUUUCUAAAGCAGCUAUUUAUUUUACGUGUGCGCGCGCGUUGUCUCACUGGUAAACAGGAUCUCACAGCACAGCCCUGGCUGGCACAGAGGGCAGUGGGCGAAGCCUCUCUCUCACCCUCCACCCUGCCUGGUCGUCAACACCCAGCUGGUCCCCCGGGGGCAGCCACUGGCCCAGAUCAUGGUGUGUCCUUCUAGGAAGGUCUACGCAUGGACCCAGGUGCACCCAGGGCGGGGUUAUGUUUUAACACAGAGUGGAGCCCAGGUGUGCCCCGCUGGCCGUGCAGGAGCUCCCGGGCUGCCGAUGGGACUCGUUCCCAAAGCCCAGCCCUCCACCCACAGACGUGGGUGUGGCCCCGGGGACCGCCUCCCCAUCCCAUGGACCCGCGUCCUGGGGUGACUUCCCGGGGGGGCCGCUCCGGGGGACAUGUCUUUGUAGCCUGGCCGAGUCAUGCUCCCCCAACACCAGCAGAGGCCCAGGCAGCUCUGGACAGCCCCUCGGGCUUCUGUCCACCACUGGUGACCUGCCAGACGAGGGGCAGCCAAGCUAACGGGCACCUCCCAGCUCAGGCACCCCGCCAGCCACCUGAGAACCGCCUGACCUGUCACGACAGAAGGCCCUGGAUCGGAGUGCGUUUGGGGGCAAUGAGUUUAGGGACCCAGGAGUGCAUGGCCUCCUUCAGCAGUUCUGGGUCAGCUACGAUGCCCGCUUUGGAGCCUCAGUGCCCACACCUGUGACCCACGUCAGCUCUAAGGGCUGUGGGGCUGCAGGACAGUUGUCUGCACGCCCCUGCCACUUUCACCUGCUGAUUGACACCUACUGUGUGUAAGGCCCAGGAAGAGGGGAGGGGUCUCAGAAGGCUACCCGGAGAAGGUAACCUUUACCUUGAGCUUGGAAGGAGUCUUCAGUCAGCACUCACUGAGUUUCCGCCAUGUGCCCAGGACUGGGAUCAGAGCAGCGAACAAAAUGGAAAGCUCCCCACCUGCCCCGUGGGUGACCGACAACCACGGCACCGGCAGCGAAGCCCUGGGCCGCUUGGUGCCGCCAGGGAGUUGGGGCUCUUUUGAACAUGAGCUGCCUGGACUCCUUGCUUGGUGCCUGCGAUAAACCCUGCACCCGCCUUCACCACAACGCGUGUCAGCAGACUGGCUUCACUGUGCGUGGAUACGUGUUUCAUGGAACAGGCGAUGCACCGAGAUCCCAGUACCAGUGAGGAAGAUGACAGCCCUGUUGCCGGUGAACCCAAAGGAGUCUGCAGAAAAGGG